rnacentral:lncRNA from 1 species
UCGCAACGCAGACACACGAAAAAGCUCGGGCGAGGACAGACACUCAGCGAAUCUCUACCAGCAAGAGUUCUGGGUGGGUGUGUGCGUUUCCCGUGCCCUUUGUGAGACACCGGCUGACGUUACAGAGACAGGCUGCGGUGGCGAAUAGAGGACUUCAGGGCAACCUCUACUCAUCCCCCAGUUCGGCCAAGCUUGAAAUGGGCCCCCAGGGACACUGCGGUGCAGGCAACAGGCUCUGUCUCUUCAGGAGAGAGGUUCUUUCGGUGGAGCAGAAUCCCUCCCCAGCUGCUCAGAGGCAAACCGGGAGGGAGCCUCUCCAAGGAGCGAAGGGCUGGCAGACCAGCUCUGUCAGGUCAGCUGAAUAGUCCAGCUGUUGCCCAUGACUGCCGGGGAGGCUGAGAGACGCCGGGUUUCAGAGGCGGAGGGACACUUCUUGGUACCACACUGUCUGCUUACCCUGCCACGAGCUCUGCUGCCUGGAACUGCGGUUUGCUUUGAGGCGAGAACACCGCGUUUGUAGUGGGGACCUUCUUCACUGCUGUAUCCCACUGACUCCACGAGCAAUCUCCCAACCACGGAGCUUCACCCACCUGCUUUUCUACCCUGCCUGUCACCAACCUACCCACCUCCCACCCACCAUCCCUUGCCACUUCGUGUUCUCCACGUGCCUGAGGGGUUCCUGUCCUGCACCCCAGGAAUUCUCGUGGAGUCUGGGGGACCUGCUCCCCGUAGCUUUGUCUGAAUCCUGCAUGAGGCCUUGGACCUGGCCGCCUCUGAUGAGAGCAGGGGCGUCUGAGAAGCAGUCUCGGUCAUGGACCCUGAGUCCCCAGUGUCGGGAAGCAGCAGUUAACCACAGGUGAAACUGCGAACACUGCUGAACAGACUGGUGUUCCGGGCACGAAGCGCUCUUCCACAGACCACACCCAAUGUGCCUAGUCGGGGAAGGGGUUCUCACAUUUCCCGAUCUUUUGAGAGAUGAAAAGGAUGGCUUGGCCCUCUGAAGUGAUCUCACCUGCCUGGGAGCCUAAGCAACACAAGUAUCUAGCGGACCAGAGAGCUGAAGGAUGACUGUGUGGCACCGGAAGCUCACUUCAUCCCCGCAUCCACCCUGCUGCCCUCCAGCACUGAGGAGUAGCACUUUGCUACUCCUUCAUUCUGGCAUCAGGGUUUACCUUCAAGUCCCUGGACAGAGGCUCUGCUGCCACCGGAUGCCAGUGAAUGGAGCGCCAGAAUCUGCUUGGAAUGUGAAGAGAGCCAUAAGGGAGUAGGACCGGAAAGGUAAGAGAAAGGCAUUGAGGAAAGAAAGUCAAUGAGAGGGUCCUGCGGUGAGAACAACAUUGACUGGGAUUUGGAGACCCAGCCCCCCACCUCUGCUACCUAAUAGUCAACAGUCCUCAGGCAGUAACAUCCUGUUUGUCUUUUAUCUUUUUCUUUUUUCAGAAAAACAAGGUUGGAUGAGUUAUUAUGUGAAGUAAGUCAGUUUCAACUCUAAAACCAAGAUUUUAGAUGUGAAUUGGACCUGAGAUUAAACUAAAUCCAGAGUGGGAGAUGUAGGGAGGGCGUUUUGAUUCCUGUUUCCCGUCUCUACUGAAAUUCUUUCAUCAGUGUUACUCACGGAUUCGAUCUGUGGAAAGGAAUGUAGUUAAGUUCUCAUUCCUCGAAGCCUCCGGACUGUCAAGGCCCAUUCCCCACACCCUCCAGCACCAUUCAAGGAAGACCACUAUUCCUAGCUGCAGAGCAUCAAAGGAGAUGAGAAUACAGGGCAGGAGGAAUCACAGGAAAAGGAGUUUAGAGAGGAAAAAAGUGAUCAGGAACAAGGCUGCUACAGGGUGGCAAGAAACUGCAUCUCUUCCCUCCAGACUGCAUGGUUGCUUUAACACUUCUCUCAAUCACACACUAUUCCCUCAAUUUCUCAUAUGUACAAAAAUAUAAAACAAUAAAGUGCAGUUUACAUUUCA